CAGGCAUGAGCCACGGAGCCUAGCCUGUGUCUCUACUUUUGGAUGUUAUAUUAGUUUCCUAGGACUGCCAUAACAAAGUACCACAAAGUGAGUGGCUCAAACAACAGAAACCUAUUGUCUCACAGUUCUGGAUGCUAGAAGUCCAAGCAAGGUCAGGUGAAGAGCGUUGGUUCCUUCUGAAGGCUAUGAGGGAGAAUCUGUUGCAUGCCUCUCCCCUAUCUUCUGGGGGUGGGGGUGCUGGCAAUUUUUGGUGUUCCUUGGCUUGUAGGAGCCAAUCUCUACCUUCAUGUUCACAUGGGUUCUCCCUGUGUGUGUUUCUGUGUUCCAAUUCCCUUUUUUAUAAGGACGCCAGUCACAGUGGAUUAGAG
rnacentral:lncRNA from 10 species